AGUGGCGAACGGGUGAGUAACACGUGGGUGACCUGCCCUGCACUUCGGGAUAAGCCUGGGAAAAUGGGUCUAAUACCGGAUAGUGUGGGAUGGGCCAGCGGCCUAUCAGCUUGUUGGUGGGGUAAUGGCCUACAAAGGCGGCGACGGAUAGCCGGCCUGAGCGGGUGGAAGGUCACAUUGUGACUGAGACACGGCACAGACUCCUACUGGAGGCAGCAGUGGGGAUGAUUGCAAAAUGUGCGGAAGCCUGAUGCAGCGACGCUGUGGGGGUGAUGACGGCCUUAGGGUUGUAAACGCCUUGCACCAUCGACGAGUUAGAGGGUGAAGAAGCACCGGCUAACGACGUGCCAGCAGCCGCGGUAAUUC
rnacentral:rRNA from 1 species